rnacentral:rRNA from 1 species
GAUGAACGCUGGCGGCGUGCCUAAUACAUGCAAGUCGAGCGAACAGACGAGGAGCUUGCUCCUUUGACGUUAGCGGCGGACGGGUGAGUAACACGUGGGUCACCUACCUAUAAGACUGGGAUAACUUCGGGAAACCGGAGCUAAUACCGGAUAAUAUUUCGAACCGCAUGGUUCGAUAGUGAAAGAUGGCUUUGCUAUCACUUAUAGAUGGACCUGCGCCGUAUUAGCUAGUUGGUAAGGUAACGGCUUACCAAGGCAACAAUACGUAGCCGACCUGAGAGGGUGAUCGGCCACACUGGAACUGAGACACGGUCCAGACUCCUACGGGAGGCAGCAGUAGGGAAUCUUCCGCAAUGGGCGAAAGCCUGACGGAGCAACGCCGCGUGAGUGAUGAAGGUCUUCGGAUCGUAAAACUCUGUUAUUAGGGAAGAACAAACGUGUAAGUAACUGUGCACGUCGUGACGGUACCGAAUCAGAAAGCCACGGCUAACUACGUG